rnacentral:lncRNA from 1 species
CCAGACAUGAUUUUACAUAUAUUUUUGUCAUAAAAACCCUAUGAAGUAGUAUUAUUAUGUUCAUUUCACAGAUAAGAAAACAAAGGCUCAGAGAUGCUGUUGCUCACCCAAGUUUGCUCAGAGAAUAAUGGAGUUGGGGUUGGAAACUAUAUCUACCUGACUCCACACUCCAGGCUAUCCCUCAGUAGCUUCUAAAUGCCAUCCAGCUGGGCUAUCUAGGAGUCAUUCUGGACUCUGAGUGUGGCGCUUGGGAGUUGUCCUUCCCUCCCCCUUUCAAGAAGGUGGCCGUGCUCUCUUGUACCUGUGGCUUGAGGGAUUCUUUUGGAACGGGGAGCCCCUGAGAGCAGAAGGUGCCUGAAACCAGUGGCUCAUCCAGUCUUUAAUGAAAGCCCAAGUCCAUUGAAGUGAUGGGUGAUGCUGAGUGUUGCGGGAGAGGUGGAGCAAGAGUGCCUUUUAUUCUUUUGGGCAUCCACCCCUCAACAACCCAUGAAGUGUCUGGGGUUCCACCUUUGCCUCAAGAGAAACAGCACAUGACCUAGGCACAGGCCAAUCAGUGCAUCACAUUCCUCUUGCCUCAUGAUUGGUUCAAUGUUGUAUGACAGUGUGAGCUUUGGAGCUAUGGCAGCCAUCUUGUGACCAUGAAGGCACAAGCUGAGGAUGAAAGCCAACAUGCUGAAGAUGGCAGAGGAGGAAGACAGAAAAUGAUUCAGUCCUUGUAGACAUCAUUAUGCCACUCUACGUAUGACUCCCCUAUGUGUGGAACUUUAUAUUUUGUGAAAUAAUACACUUUCCUUAUUGUUUAAGCCAUUUUGAAUUCCCUAACCCCUGGGUAAUAUUAGCCCAGAAAGCAGAAAAGAAAAUAAAUAAUUCUCCUACUUAGGUUAUUUCUUCUUUGCAGCCUUUUCUUGACUUUUUAAAUUAAAUAUUUAGAACAUACAAGUGCC